rnacentral:lncRNA from 1 species
UGCGAGUGAAACCGCUGGUACCGGCAUUAUCCACCUUUAGAACGGUGGUUUCACUUGCAGUUUGGUCUUCUACCUUCUCACCAUUGCAGUAGACCUCUCCACCAUAAUGCCAAGGCACGGCAUCAUCUUUGUCAUACGGAAUCGGUCCAGGUACCGUGAUGGUAACCGGAGCCGCCUCAGCAAGAGUAGACAAAUCCACCGGAUCAAAGUAUAUC